GUCUCAGCAGCCGCGGUAAAACCAGCACCUCAAGUGGUCAGGAUGAUUAUUGGGCCUAAAGCAUCCGUAGCCGGCUCUGUAAGUUUUCGGUUAAAUCCAUGUCCUCAACACAUGGGCUGCCGAAAAUACUGCAUAGCUAGGGAGUGGGAGAGGUAGACGGUACUCAGUAGGAAGGGGUAAAAUCCUUUGAUCUAUUGAUGACCACCUGUGGCGAAGGCGGUCUACCAGAACACGUUCGACGGUGAGGGAUGAAAGCUGGGGGAGCAAACCGGAUUAGAUACCCGGGUAGUCCCAGCUGUAAACGAUGCAGACUCGAUGAUGCAUUGGCAUAUAGCCAGUGCAGUGUCGCAAGGAAGCCGUUAAGUCUGCCGCCUGGGAAGUACGUACGCAAGUAUGAAACUUAAAGGAAUUGGCGGGGGAGCACCACAAGGGGUGAAGCCUGCGGUUCAAUUGGAGUCAACGCCAGAAAUCUUACCCGGAGAGACAGCAGAAUGAAGGUCAAGCUGAAGACUUUACCAGACAAGCUGAGAGGUGGUGCAUGGCCGUCGCCAGCUCGUGCCGUGAGAUGUCCUGUUAAGUCAGGUAACGAGCGG
rnacentral:rRNA from 1 species